rnacentral:rRNA from 1 species
CCUACGGGUGGCAGCAGUGGGGGAUAUUGCACAAUGGGGGGAACCCUGAUGCAGCGACGCCGCGUGGGUGAAGAAGCGCCUCGGCGCGUAAAGCCCUGUCAGCAGGGAAGAAAAUGACGGUACCUGAAGAAGAAGCCCCGGCGAACUACGUGCCAGCAGCCGCGGAAAUACGUAGGGGGCAAGCGUGAUCUGGAUUUACUGGGUGUAACGGGGGCGCAGACGGCGAUGCAAGCCAGGAGUGAAAGCCCGGGGCUCAACCCCGGGACUGCUCUUGGAACUGCGUGGCUGGAGUGCAGGAGGGGCAGGCGGAAUUCCUGGUGUAGCGGUGAAAUGCGUAGAUAUCAGGAGGAACACCGGUGGCGAAGGCGGCCUGCUGGACUGCAACUGACGUUGAGGCCCGAAAGCGUGGGGAGCAAACAGGAUUAGAUACCCCUGUAGUC